rnacentral:rRNA from 1 species
CUGUCGUCAGCUCGUGUCGUGAGAUGUUGGGUUAAGUCCCGCAACGAGCGCAACCCUUAUCAUUAGUUGCUACGCAAGGGCACUCUAAUGAGACUGCCGGUGACAAGCCGGAGGAAGUGGGGAUGACGUCAAGUCCUCAUGGCCCUUAUGGGUAGGGCUUCACACGUCAUACAAUGGUCGGUACAGAGGGUUGCCAAGCCGCGAGGCGGAGCCAAUCCCACAAAGCCGAUCGUAGUCCGGAUUGUUCUCUGCAACUCGAGAGCAUGAAGUCGGAAUCGCUAGUAAUCGCAGGUCAGCAUACUGCGGUGAAUACGUUCCCGGGUCUU